UACAGAGGUCUCAAGCGUUGUUCGGAUUCAUUGGGCGUAAAGGGUGCGUAGGUGGCGCCGUAAGUCAGGUGUGAAAUUUCGGAGCUUAACUCCGAAACUGCAUUUGAUACUGCGGUGCUUGAGGACUGGAGAGGAGACUGGAAUUCACGGUGUAGCAGUGAAAUGCGUAGAUAUCGUGAGGAAGACCAGGUGGCGAAGGCGGGUCUC
rnacentral:rRNA from 1 species